rnacentral:rRNA from 1 species
GACGAACGCUGGCGGCGUGCUUAACACAUGCAAGUCGAACGGUAAGGCCCUUCGGGGUACACGAGUGGCGAACGGGUGAGUAACACGUGGGUGAUCUGCCCUGCACUUCGGGAUAAGCCUGGGAAACUGGGUCUAAUACCGGAUAGGACCACUGCCUGCAUGGGUGGUGGUGGAAAGCUUUUGCGGUGUGGGAUGGGCCCGCGGCCUAUCAGCUUGUUGGUGGGGUGAUGGCCUACCCAGGCGACGACGGGUAGCCGGCCUGAGAGGGUGACCGGCCACACUGGGACUAAGAUACGGCCCAGACUCCUACGGGAGGCAGCAGUGGGGAAUAUUGCACAAUGGGCGCAAGCCUGAUGCAGCGACGCCGCGUGAGGGAUGACGGCCUUCGGGUUGUAAACCUCUUUCAGCACCGACGAAGCGCAAGUGACGGUAGGUGCAGAAGAAGGACCGGCCAACUACGUGCCAGCAGCCGCGGUAA